GGAAACUUUUGAACGAUUCCGGAUAAUACGCGAAACGGCACCGGAUCAUAUCAGAACAUAAACAAGACGAAAUGAUGGAUGUGCCUAAUAUUGUGAGCGAAAAAGUCAACAAGACCGCACUGAAACGGAAGAGAAAAUCGUCUCUGUGGUUACAUCAACCAAAAAAAAACUAAAUUCCGCGAAGAAAACUUACCUGCAACAGUACCUUCCACAUCAACAAGUAAAUCCGAUUCUGAGGCUGCAUUAUGUGAGAAACCAGAGUGUGUCCCAGCACUCCUACCUUAUUUACUUUACUAGACUCACGAAAUUUGGGACACAUUUUGCAAAACCGAAAUCAUGCAUUUGAUUCACCUACGAGGCUUGGAAAAAGACAACGAAAAUCGAAACGGUCAGAUAUCAGCAGACGGCAUGAGGUCGCAAGGGGCUGUUUGCCAAUUCGCAGCCACCACAAAUGCGAUGAGUCAAAGAUUCUGCCAACCACUCGUCUUGGUAUAACGUUGGAGGACACUAUGAAAGUGUAAAUUGUAUUAUGUCACCACAUUAGGAGAACAAAGUGUUCAUCACGGAACAGAACGAACUACUAUGUCACUAUUAAAAUAGUUGAUUAAAUAAAGGUCUUAACAUGGCAGUACAUACCUAACGCGGUGUUCGCAUGUGGUGCACUGUUCCUGUUCUAUUUCAACGACCAUUAGACAGUUGAAUUAAACUUUCAAUUUUAUCAACAUGUCCAAUGUAUUUUAUGAAAAUUUGGAGAAAGUGAAAUCUAAUAUCGCAAUAAUAACUACUAUUUGUUUCAACUUACCUUUUAGGGGUUUCGAAUGUAAUUUAGCAAAAAGCAUUUAAAUGAAUAUACAUUUGUAGUUUUUUUGAACGAGUCCCCCCUUCCAAUAUCAGCAAUGUGAUUUGAAUGUGCUCGCUACUUAGGCUUGUGUAUUGACAUAAAACAUAUUGUUUUGACAAGUGACAGGUUGUUAUAUGAUCUUUGGAUGUUUCAAUACACAGGAUAUUGGUUUUUUGAAACCGCUAAAGGAUCAGCCACGAAAGUGCUGUAGAUCAUACAGUGUCUUCUUUGUCUCACCACAUAGCACAUCCAAUGUGGCUGUAAGCUUGAUGGCAUUCUGCUUUUUAAUGUGUGACUGAUGAUCACAACACCGUGCAUUUUAUUUCAAGGUGUGAAAACAAAACAUUCUAAUCUAUUAGAGUUUAUAGUCUGGCAGCUGUGGCGCCAAAUAUUCUAUUGCAGAGUUAUUUAUGCUUCAAUCAUUUAUGAUUGCAUGGUUUUAACAGAAAGAUAUCCAUGUACCAGAUUAUAAAUACACUCCUGUUUAUGGAAAACAAACCUCAAAAAUCAUAAUUUAACAAGCAUAUUUUUCUCAUGUCAAAUACCAUCGUUUGUCUGAAGAUAAUUUGCAUAA